rnacentral:tRNA from 1 species
UGAUCAGAAGCUGAAGUAUUGUAGCGUCUAGCUGUUAAUUAGAGGGUUGUAGAAUUAAGGUCCUACCUGGUCAG